rfam:Stegodyphus mimosarum contig102336, whole genome shotgun sequence.
GCCUUCGUGGUGUAGUGGUCUGCAUGCUCGACGAGUAACCGAGAGGUCCGUGGUUCGAUUCCCGGCGAAGGCG